UGCUGGGCUCUGAGGGACUUCACCAGACUCUUCCGGUAGCCGGCGCCUCCUUCGCUCUGCCUAUCUCCCAGGAAUGUCUUAUUUUCAGAAAAGGAAAUAAAACAACCAAGAAGGGUGUCCCACAACCAGCAAACUUCAUCGCGGCCGCGGGGGUCUGACUCGCUCUGGUGUGUCCCACCGAUCUGGAAGAGACGCUUCACUGCAAGAAUGAGUCGGUGAAGUUCCUGCUUGUGAGUGAAAGAGAGAAAGAGAGAGGCGCGGGGGAAAAAAAAAGGCAAACCCGGGGGUGCAACUUGUCUGGGACUUACUGACGGCCUGCCACUGACCGACCUACAGCAUCGCGGGGGGGAGGGGCGCUGCUUUCCAGAUGGACUUGCUUUUAAAAAAAAAAAGGAGGAGGAGGAGGAGG